GACCGCGUAGCUCAGUUGGAAGAGCAUUGGGCUAGUAUCCAAAGGUCGUAGGUUCGAAUCCCGCCGUGGCCG